CCUGUACUACCCGGGUCGCUCCGCGGCGCUGCCGCGCGCCCGCUCCCACACGGGCGAGGAACGGCUCUCCCCGGAGCUCGGAUCGUUAGCUCCUCCCCAGUACAGCGUCGCCCCUCGGAGCCCUCCAGCCGCGCCCCGGCCCCGCGACGAACGGCGGCUGCGGAGCACCGCCGCCGCCUGACAGCGCCGAACCCCGGGCCGAGCAGCCUCCGCCCGCCGGGCCGCGGCGGCAGAGGCACCGUUACGUCAGCGGGGGCCGGGCCGGAGGAAGAGUUUCCCCGCGGUGUGCGAGCGCCGGGAAGUGCCGUGCGCCGCCGGGGGAAGCGGCCUCCCGCUGCCCGACAGGGAGGAACGCGGCUGCGUCCCGGCCCGGCCGCGGUGCGGGGCGCCCCCGUCCCCUACUCUGCCCCGGCUCGGCCCCACCGCCGCCGGCGCUAAGGGGAAGCGCCGCGGGGAGUAAUCGCGGCUGUGCUGGAAAGAUACUGAAAGGGGAAAUAAAUCUCCUAAAAGGGCACGCUUGCUAUAUUAGCGAUUUGAUUUUGGUCAUCUUCGAUGCCGUGGUGCUGACUGCUACGUUAAACAAACAGGAAACUGCACAGCGUGGCUUUCUCCUCUCCAGAACAAUUUUGAGUUGGUGAUUUCACCUGUCUCUCUCUUUUUUUUUUUCAAGAAAGUCACUGGGAAAGGGCUCUUGCGCAAGCUUUGAACUGACUUUACUAUCCGAAGAAGAAUGUCAGGCCAGCUCUUGUGUUCAGGAGGGCAGGUGGGGGAAUUCAAGGCAGUGUGAAGGAAGAGCCCAGCUGCCAGGACGCACUCAAGUAAGUCUGUGAGAGAUGAGCACCGAGGCUUGGAUCUGCACCUCAUAUUCCUGACGCGGCAGCAGUGAUCAGAUGGCAGGAGAGGAGCAGUCUGAAACGUGGCGUCUGACAUGGAAGUGUGGAUGGAGCAGAGGUGUGGAAUUGGAUUCCUCCAUGAAGAAAAAAAAUGCACUCAUCAGUGCUUGCUGAACGUUUAUGGAGACCAAACAGUGGAUGUGAGCACAGUGAGGCAGUGGGUGGUGUGUUUCAGCAGUGGUGGCAACAACAGUGGGUCACCUCCACUGGCGCA
ensembl:lncRNA